rnacentral:rRNA from 1 species
GACGAACGCUGGCGGCGUGCUUAACACAUGCAAGUCGAACGGAAAGGCCCUGCUUGCAGGGUACUCGAGUGGCGAACGGGUAAGUAACACGUGGGUGAUCUGCCCUGCACUUCGGGAUAAGCCUGGGAAACUGGGUCUAAUACCGGAUAGGAGCCAUUUUUAGUGUGAUGGUUGGAAAGUUUUUUCGGUGUAGGAUGAGCUCGCGGCCUAUCAGCUUGUUGGUGGGGUAAUGGCCUACCAAGGCGGCGACGGGUAGCCGGCCUGAGAGGGUGGACGGCCACAUUGGGACUGAGAUACGGCCCAGACUCCUACGGGAGGCAGCAGUGGGGAAUAUUGCACAAUGGGCGCAAGCCUGAUGCAGCGACGCCGCGUGGGGGAUGACGGCCUUCGGGUUGUAAACUCCUUUCGCUAGGGACGAAGCUUUUGUGACGGUACCUAGAUAAGAAGCACCGGCUAACUACGUG